rnacentral:rRNA from 1 species
UGAGCAAUCUGCCCUUCACAUCGGAAUAACCAUUGGAAACGAUGGCUAAUACCGAAUAUGACUUCGGAGCGCAUGAUCUGAAGUGGAAAGCUCCGGCGGUGAAGGAUGAGCUCGCGGCCUAUCAGCUUGUUGGUGAGGUAAUAGCUCACCAAGGCGAUGACGGGUAGCCGGCCUGAGAGGGUGACCGGCCACACUGGGACUGAGACACCGGCAGA